rnacentral:rRNA from 1 species
GGAAGUAAAAAGUCGUAACAAGGUCUCCGUUGGUGAACCAGCGG